UGUAUUGACUUAUAGAAAUAUAGUAUUAUAAUUACUACCGUGUUUUAAGCACUAUGGCAAUAAAGGCAUCUUAAAAUAGAUGUAUUGGACCCGAGGGCAGUGCUCGGCAUCUCCACUUAUUACUAUGGGGGUGAAACAGGAUCGACAUGCAUAGUAAAGGGGAUAGUUUUUGCCCGGUGAGAAAGCAGCCGUUUAAAUGCUCAAAAUUUAUAAGUGCAAACGAUAAUUUCGUUUUUGCAAAUGACAAUAAUAGCAGUGUUGCUGGCUUAGUGGCUGCUUAGUUUUGUCAUUAGCGCGGUUUUUUAGAGGGUUUCCCGGGCAACAGAAAAAUCCUCU
rfam:Ehrlichia canis str. Jake, complete genome.